GCCAGACUCCUACGGGAGGCAGCAGUCGGGAAUAUUGCACAAUGGAGGAAACUCUGAUGCAGUGACACCGCGUAUAGGAAGAAGGUUUUCGGAUUGUAAACUAUUUUAGACAGGGAAGAAAAAAGACAGUACCUGUAGAAUAAGCUCCGGCUAACUACGUGCCAGCAGCCGCGGUAAUACGUAGGGGGCAAGCGUUAUCCGGAUUUACUGGGUGUAAAGGGAGCGUAGACGGCUAUGCAAGUCUGGAGUGAAAGGCGGGGGCCCAACCCCCGGACUGCUCUGGAAACUGUAAAGCUAGAGUGCAGGAGAGGUAAGUGGAAUUCCUAGUGUAGCGGUGAAAUGCGUAGAUAUUAGGAGGAACACCAGUGGCGAAGGCGGCUUACUGGACUGUAACUGACGUUGAGGCUCGAAAGCGUGGGGAGCAAACAGGAUUAGAUACCCCGGUAA
rnacentral:rRNA from 1 species